GCAAAUACACCUUCCUGAUACUGUUAAGCACUUAUCAUACUCAGCACUUUAUCUUCACAACCAUCGUUUGAAGGAGGUAGCCUCUUUCCCACUUUACAGAUGUUGAAACGGGUUAAGCAAGUUGGCCAAAUUUACAUAAUUUACAGGCACCAGAACCAAGAAUUGAAAUUGUUUCAUGAGUCCAAAGCACGGAUUCUUUUCCCAUGUUAAAGAAAGGAAAAAAAGUGAGCAUUUAUCAAGGCCCUACUUUGUCAUGUAGUCUGUUGGGAGCUCAGUUCUGUGCCCACCAAAUUCAUAGGCUGAAGCCCUAAUCACCAGUACCUUAGAAUGUGACUAUAUAAAGUCUUUAAUGAGGUCUUUGGGGGCACACUCUAAUCCAAUAUGACCGAGGUCCUUUAAGAAGAGGAAAUUUGGGUACCAGGCCUGCAUGUGCACAGAAGAGACCAUGUGCAAGAAGCACGCCCUCUGCUGGCCAAUGGGAGGAGGCCUCAGAGGAAACCACACCUGCUGACACCUUGACCUUGGCCUUCCAGACUUCAGAACUGUCCUUUAAGCCACUCAGUCUGUGGUAUUUAGUUACAGCAGCCCCAACAAAGUGAGUCUUCCAUAAGCCAGCCAGGUGGGUGGAAUUUUCUUAUGACUCAAGCUUAAUAAGUUGCCUGCAGUCACAUGAUCCAGAGCCCACAGUCUUCCACUGAGUUGCCGCUCCUCUGACCCUAGUCUGUGCUUUAUACACUGCAAAGCACUGUAGAGAAACCAGAAAUGAAACUGUCAAACACGGGCUUGCACGCUUGCAGUUCUGAAGCACUGCACAUCGAUCGCCAGCCUCACAGCGGUUCAAACAAAAGGGACUAAAGCACUGAAGGUGCUUUGCCAGAACACAAAAAACGGCCAUGUGUUUACAGCACAAAUGAUUGUAAGUCGAGUGCAUCUGGGAACAAAGAAGCAAGGAUUUGGAGCGUUCGAGACCCAGGAAAGCUGAAAACACAGCUUUCCCUUGGAGGAAAGAGAGGGAAGCUGUUCAGGAAGCCAAGCCCAGGCCAUCAGAAACUGCGGACCUGUCUCCGAGGGGAAACACACGUUAACCCAGCCGGGGCUGGAUCACCUGACUGGAGCAGGGGCGGAAGAUCUGGCGAGGCCGAGGUACACUAUUCAGAGUCAAGGCGUGAGCAAGGUUAGAGCUUAGCGAGGUCUGCAAUUCACCCACCUUGGUGUGGACUGCAGGAUGGCCAAGUGACAGGGCCAGAACUUAGGUUUACAAUUUUGUUUUUUGCGAUUUCUUGGGCCGCUUCUAUGGCACAUAGAGGUUCCAAGGCUAAGGGUCUAAUCGGAUCUGUAGCCACCGGCCUAAGCCAGAGUCACAGCAACUCGGGAUCCAAGGUGCCUCUGUAACCUACACCAUAACUCAUGGCAACGCCAGAUCCUU
rnacentral:lncRNA from 1 species